rnacentral:rRNA from 1 species
AGUAACGCGUGGGUAACCUGCCUCACACUGGGGGAUAACAGUUAGAAAUAGCUGCUAAUACCGCAUAAGCGCACAGCUCCGCAUGGAGCAGUGUGAAAAACUCCGGUGGUGUGAGAUGGACCCGCGUCUGAUUAGCCAGUUGGCGGGGUAACGGCCCACCAAAGCGACGAUGCGUAGCCGACCUGAGAGGGUGAUCGGCCACAUUGGGACUGAGACACGGCCCAGACUCCUACGGGAGGCAGCAUG